rnacentral:rRNA from 1 species
GACGGGGGAUGCAGGUGUUAUCCGGAAUCACUGGGCGUAAAGCGUCUGCAGGUGGUUUCCUAAGUCCACUGUUAAACCUUGAGGCUCAACCUCAAAUCUGCAUUGGAAACUAGGAGACUUGAGUAUAGUAGGGGUAGAGGGAAUUUCCAGUGGAGCGGUGAAAUGCGUAGAUAUUGGAAAGAACACCGAUGGCGAAGGCACUCUACUGGGCUAUUACUGACACUCAGAGACGAAAGCUAGGGGAGCAAAUGGG